rnacentral:rRNA from 1 species
CAAGUCGAGUGGGUUUAGGCCCACGGCGAACGGGUGUGUAAUACCUAGGAACUUCCCUUUAGUUGAGCAUAACCCAUCGAAAGGUGGGAUAAUUCUCGAUGUGACCGCAAGGUUAAAGUCGCAAGACGCUAAAGAAAAGGCCUGGGCACCAUCAGCUUGUUGGUAAGGUAAAAGCUUACCAAGGCUAUGACGGUUAGGGGCCCCGAGAGGGGAAACCUCCACACUGGAACUGCGACACGGUCCAGACUCCUACGGGAGGCAGCAGUUUGGAAUUUUGGACAAUGGGCGAAAGCCUGAUCCAGCGACGCCGCGUGGACGAUGAAGGCCUUCGGGUUGUAAAGUCCUUUUGUUAGGGAAGAAUUUUUGACGGUACCUAGCGAAUAAGAGGUUGCUAACUCUGUGCCAGCAGCAGCGGUAAUACAGAGACCUCAAGCGUUAUCCGGAAUCAUUGGGCGUAAAGCGUACCGAUAGGUGGUUUAGAAAGUCAGAUGUGAAAUUCCAAGGCUCAACCUUGGGACUGUCAUUUGAGACUUCCAAACUAGAGGGGCAAAGAGGAAGCUGGAACGAACGGUGUAGUAGUGAAAUGCGUUGAUAUCGUUCGGAACACCAAUAGCGAAGGCAGGCUUCUGGGUGCCACCUGACACUGCUAGGACGAAUGCGUGGGGAGCGAAGGGGAUUAGAUACCCCCGUAGUCCACGCUGUAAACGAUCUACAUU